rnacentral:piRNA from 1 species
UGACUUGUAAGACGGUGAUCCUCAGC